rnacentral:rRNA from 1 species
AUGAACGCUGGCGGCGUGCCUAAUACAUGCAAGUCGAGCGAACGGACGAGAAGCUUGCUUCUCUGAUGUUAGCGGCGGACGGGUGAGUAACACGUGGAGAACCUACCUAUAAGACUGGGAUAACUUCGCGAAACCGGAGCUAAUACCGGAUAAUAUUUUGAACCGCAUGGUUCAACAGUGAAAGACGGUCUUGCUGUCACUUAUAGAUGGAUCCGCGCUGCAUUAGCUAGUUGGUAAGGUAACGGCUUACCAAGGCAACGAUGCAUAGCCGACCUGAGAGGAUGAUCGGCCACACUGGAACUGAGACACGGUCCAGACUCCUACGGGAGGCAGCAGUAGGGAAUCUUCCGCAAUGGGCGAAAGCCUGACGGAGCAACGCCGCGUGAGUGAUGAAGGUCUUCGGAUCGUAAAACUCUGUUAUUAGGGAAGAACAUACGUGUAAGUAACUGUGCACAUCUUGACGGUACCUAAUCAGAAAGCCACGGCUAACUACGUG